rnacentral:rRNA from 1 species
AGCCUAGGGAGAUUUAUCUUAGGUAAAACCUGCCCGGUGACUAGAUUUUAACGGCCGCGGUACUUUGACCGUGCUAAGGUAGCGUAAUCAGUUGACUUUUAAAUGAAGUCUUGUAUGAAUGGAUUUAUGGGAUUAAGCUGUCUCUUAUGUAUUCUAUUGAAAUUACUAAUUAGGUGAAAAGGCCUAAAAAUGAAAAAAGACGAGAAGACCCUUAGAGUUUUAAUAAAAGGUUUUUGUUGGGGCGACAAGAAGACAUUUUUUAACUCUUCUAUUGCAAAAUUUAUCUUGCCGGUUCUUUUAAGUAUGGAUAAACUACCUUAGGGAUAACAGCAUAAUCCAUUUUGGGUUUGUGACCUCGAUGUUGGACUAGGAAAAUUAUACCCUAGCAGGGUGUGUAUUUAGGUUCUGUUCGAACUUCUUUUCCU